GUACGUAGGGUGCGAGCGUUGUCCGGAAUUAUUGGGCGUAAAGGGCUCGUAGGCGGUUUGUCGCGUCGGGAGUGAAAACUCAGGGCUCAACCCUGAGCGUGCUUCUGAUACGGGCAGACUAGAGGUAUUCAGGGGAGAACGGAAUUCCUGGUGUAGCGGUGGGAAUGACGCAGAUAUCAGGAGGAACACCGGUGGCGAAAGGCGGUUCUCUGGGAAUUACCUGACGCUGAGGAGCGAAAGCAUGGGGAGCGAACAGG
rnacentral:rRNA from 1 species